UGAUGUGAAACUGAAGAUCUAAAUAAAGAAGAAGGAAGCGAUAAAAAUCGUUUCAACAUACGUUUGAAAAAAUUCUUCUUUGGAACUAUUUGUGUUGAUCAAAAGAAAUUGCAAAGCCACACACAAAAACCUAUUUAGUGAUUGUCGAUAUACUAUUCCCUUCCGUUUUAGCAAAGCGGAAUAAAAACUCAGGUAGGCUAAUGAUACGGAAUAUGCAUUUCUUAAUGAAUAAGGGGAACCUAAAAUCGUCAGAGUUCAAGUAUGUGACAUUAUCAGUUUA